rnacentral:tRNA from 1 species
GUCGCGGUGGUCUAAAGGCUUAGGACGCUCGCACGGAAUGCAAGAGAUCCGGGUUCGACUCCCGGCCAAGGCA